GAUGAACGCUGGCGGCGUGCCUAAUACAUGCAAGUCGAGCGAACGGACGAGAAGCUUGCUUUUCUGAUGUUAGCGGCGGACGGGUGAGUAACACGUGGAUAACCUACCUAUAAGACUGGGAUAACUUCGGGAAACCGGAGCUAAUACCGGAUAAUAUUUUGAACCGCAUGGUUCAAAAGUGAAAGGCGGUCUUGCUGUCACUUAUAGAUGGAUCCGCGCUGCAUUAGCUAGUUGGUAAGGUAACGGCUUACCAAGGCAACGAUGCAUAGCCGACCUGAGAGGGUGAUCGGCCACACUGGAACUGAGACACGGUCCAGACUCCUACGGGAGGCAGCAGUAGGGAAUCUUCCGCAAUGGGCGAAAGCCUGACGGAGCAACGCCGCGUGAGUGAUGAAGAUCUUCGGAUCGUAAAACUCUGUUAUUAGGGAAGAACAUAUGUGUAAGUAACUGUGCACAUCUUGACGGUACCUAAUCAGAAAGCCACGGCUAACUACGUG
rnacentral:rRNA from 1 species